GACGAACGCUGGCGGCGUGCUUAACACAUGCAAGUCGAGCGGAGCGGCGAACGGGUGAGUAACGCGUGAGUAACUGCCCACCUCUCUGGGAUAAAAGUUGGAAACGGCUGCUAAUACCGGAUAGUGGGGGAUGACUCGCGUCCUAUCAGCGUGUUGGUGGGGUAGUGGCGUACCAAGGCGACGACGGGUAGCCGGCCUGAGAGGGCUACCGGCCAAAUAGGGCGGAUAUACCGGCCAAACUCCUACGGGUGGGGGCAGAUAGGUAUAGUGCACAAUGGUGGAAACCCGGAUGCAGCAACGCCGCGUGCGGGGUGACGGCCUUCGGGUUGUAGCCCGCUUUCAGCCAUAGCGCGGUAGUGGGAGAAUAAGCGCCGGAUAACGACGUGGCAGCAGCCGCGGUAAUUC
rnacentral:rRNA from 1 species